GGGCAGGUGGCGAAAUUGGUAGACGCGCUACCUUGAGGAGGUAGUGGGAGCUAAUCCCUUGGAGGUUCAAAUCCUCUCCUGCCCA
rnacentral:tRNA from 1 species